UCCCCUGUAGCGCAAUGGAUAGCGCGUUGGACUUCUAAUUCAAUGGUCGUGGGUUUAAUUUCCACCUGGGGCG
rnacentral:tRNA from 1 species